AAAGAGGGAAAAAAAAAACUAAAAUAUUUUUUAUCUUUUUAUUUAAGUCAAGAUUUAAGGCGGGCAAAUAUUAAAUUUUAAGGGGGCAAAUCUUAAAUUUUAAUGAAAAGAAUUUUAAAAUUUAAUAUUUUUAAAAGCAGUAUAUUUUUUUCAAAAACAAAGUAAUUGCCCCUCUUCCUCAAAACGUAGUUUUGCCAUUGCUCUCUUCCCCUCACACUACUACUAGGAUAUGUCCCUAGGUGUUAUUUUUAUGUAUUGAUUAUUAAAUCUAAUUGCCUCUAGUUCAGAGUCUAAUCUUCUAACAUUAUAAACAUUUGAUUUUUAUAUUUUCUAAGAUCUUUUUUCUUCUGAAUGAUUGGUUUCUCCCCAUGUUGCAAAUUCCAGACGCAUCCUACACAGUCUUGUUUUAUGUCAUCGAUUGAUCUUCACACCCAUUAUUCAUAUCAGGUGAUUACUCUUUCUGCUAUUUUAAAAUUUAUGCUUGUUAGAGAGGAAGUCAUGUUACCUCACAUUUGUGGUGUUUAUUUAUUUGAAGUGGACUUCACAUUGUGUUUGGGUGGAGGGAAAAUAAGAGAAGAAAGAAAAUUUGAGCAGAAAAUAACUUUAUUUUCUAUCAUUUUGUGUUUGGUUGAAAAGAAAAUAAGAAGGGAAGGAAAAUUUGAGGCUACGUUUCUUUUUCUCUCAAAAUUGGAAGGAAAGCAUUCAAAAUUAUAAAUAUAUCCCUGUAUUUUAUAGUUUCUUUUGAAAACUUAGGGGAAAAAUUGAAAUAUUACUAUUCAUAAAAUAAUUUUCCCUCCAAUAUUUUCCCCUUUAUAUCCAAACAAAAAAAAGUUAUUUUUCUCUCAUCAUUGUUGUAUUUUUUUAUUUUCCUCUCAUUAUUUUCCUUUCUCAAAUCCUAACACAAUGUCUGUGUAAGGGUAGAAAUCAGAAAUGGAGUAUAAUUGCAUAAGGCCAUGUCUUUGUGAAUAUUAAGGUAUACUGUAUAAGUGUUCACUUCAUGGCUCAAUCAGUUGGAGUAAGAGAAGCGUGCUAUUGUAAAUGAGUUGGUUAUACAUAAUGUAUUGAGAACAUCUUCACAUUUAGUGGUUACCCUUUGCAUCCAGCUUUCUGUUUAAAUCUUUUUCAGAUUAGAAAAUGCAGCAACCAUUCAAAACCUUUUAAAUUUCCCCAUCUCUUUGGGAAAGAAGGGGAAGGAAUUUUUCAAAACCAUUCUCUACUCUCCCAUUUUUGGUCCAUAACUAUUGGCAGAUAAACUCUUACGGUGCACUGGGAUUGAUUUUUCGUAUGAUCUACAGUAAAACUAAUUUUAUUUAAUGUACCUCAUCAUUUUAUUUACUGUUCACAUACUUUAUUAUUCUCUCUUCAGAUUAUGCUGCCAGAAGCUGUUGCCAUUGUCAUGGCACCAAGAGAUACUUCAAGAAAACAUGGCAUUUUUCGGUUGACAACCCCUGGUGGCAUGUCGAUCAUAAGACAGUGCCAGCAACGUGGAUUUCAUCCGCAUAAUCAACCUCCAGAUGGUGGGCCUCUUUACAAAGCCUGUACAGAUGUCUAUAUGAAUCCCAACCUAAAGUUUGAUGUUAUUGACCUACGGUGAUCUUAUUUGUUGAAUUUCAUUAGAUAAUGUUUUGGCAAUGUAAUUGUUCAUAGAUUAUCCAUUUGUGCUGGCGACCUUACCUUUGAUUCUUAAACUGUAAAAUUUCUUGUGUAAAGAAGGGGAUAUUACAAUUGCCUGGAUAAUAAAAUCCAUCCGUCCAUCACUGGAACUGGAACGUACAUCUUCAAAGUUUUAUAACGAGGAUAAGGC
rnacentral:misc_RNA from 1 species